UAGUAGAUCUUGACAGAAGAA
ensembl:piRNA 21ur-791 ncRNA